CAGCAUGACCUGCCCAAGGUCAAACAUCAGCUCAGUGGCAGAGCUAGGAAUUCAAUCUGUGUCUCUUGACUCUCAGUUCAGUACCCAAAGAAUUGGAGAUUAUAUGGAAGUAUCUGAAUAAACAAGGCUUUGCUCCAGAAUUCUUCCCAUCUUAUGAAUACAUGAUGCUGCACUCUGGGUUGGCAAAAAAGAUACCUGUUUAUAUCCAAAACGGCAUAGUGUGGCAGAGAAAGUUGUGAAGAGUUUCAUUCAUUGGGUACAUGGCUUCACUUCUGGACUCAAACAGGAGAAAUAUGGUUAUCCUUAGGUGGAACUCUACCUCUGAGUUAGAACUUAAUCAGAAGCCAAAAAUGAUGACCCAAGGACUCGAAAUGGGGUCACUGUGCUGCUGGAGGUGAAAUCUUUGUGACGACACAGCAGAUUGAGGUCCAAAUACUGAUGUUCAUUAAAGACAGUCAUUUUUCCUGAUAAGAUCAUAAAGUACACAGCUGAGGAAGGCUACAACGCUCAUAGGUGCUGGCUACGUUAGCUGCACCUACACUGAAGUCAAUGCAUUUGCAUCAACAUGCAAGCAGAGUUUGUCUCAUUUUACAUAAUUUAUGCCUCACUCUGCUCUAGUCAUAACACCGAGUUUUUUGACCUUUUUAAUAUUUCAUGUUUUGAGUAGCUAGUAAGGUUCUUCCUCACUGAUUACAAAGGUUGAAACAAGAGAAGAACUAAAAUGUCCAUUGACUCAAAUUAACAAAAAAGACAAAAUACCAAAAAAGUUAAAGCAACACUAAUUAAUACAAAAUAUGAGACACUGUUACAGAUUUGAUCUGCCGUUCAAAGUGUUAAAGUUCAUAGUCAAUGCAGUUACAUACAUUAGUCUAUAGAUAAGUACAGAUUGAUUCAUAGACAUACGCAGAAACAAGCUUGUCUCUAGUGCACGUUUGAAGGAAGCAGUCUCAUCGUGAAUCGGACCCAAUUAAAAAGUGCUUAUUGAUUUCACGGUGGAAUGAAUGUAUAAACCAGUACAUUAUGGGCCAGAUUUAUUCGUAAAUUCCAGUGCUUUGUACUGCUCUGCUGAUGCAAAACAGCUGUAAACCACCUGAGUUGGUAAUUUCAGAUGGUUUUACUGCUGUUUUACAUCACCAGAGCAGUGUAAAGUCUUCAGAAAAUACUUACAAAUCUGCCCCUAAGUGUAUAACAAAAAUGAAAAAGUAGGUCAACCGCGAGCACUGACGUGUGCACCAUUACGUUAUGUGGUUUCAUAAAUGUAUUUUUGUACUGCAUGAAAGAUGGACAGAAAACCUUUUCUGAUAAAUACAUAUCACAGACGUGUCAGUUGUGUAAAAACCAUUCCAUUGCUUAAGUGAUGACAAUUUAGUAAAUGUGAUCAAGAUGCAGCAGCUCUGUUUGCAAGGGGUCUCGGUGGUGUACUGAACUAGUGUGCAUACAUGUGUAUUUGCACACAACUGCCUUCUACUAGAAUCAAAAAUGUUCAUCUGUGUUCAUAGGCCCUUAGUGCUAGCUGCUGGCAGAAAUUCUCCUGUAGAGGAGGGGAGUGUGGUUUUGGAGCAGGAGAAUCUGGUUCCUCUCACCACAGUUAUUAAGAAAUUUGAGUGACGAUAGCAUGCAGUAUAGACUCAACUGUGAACUCAGAUAGCUAUGGAUUUGUUAUAGCAUAAUCUACCACUUACAAAUUUUAGUUACCAUUAAACAGUUGUAUAAAUCUUGUAAAUCUAUGUUUUAAUCUCCAGUCUAUUCUUUUCUGUACAUGUACUAACUCCCACUGAACUCUAAAUUUAUUUUUACUAAAAUGAAAAAAAAAAUGAAAAAAAAACCCCACCCACCCAACAACAAAACCUCACUACUACCCCAAGUACCCCACUACUCACCUCCUAGGGCUCUGUUGGAGAUCACAUUUUCAGAAACACAGAAUUUACUGUUGUAAUUUCUACUAGGAGGGCAGUACUGCCAAACCCAGCUGUUCAAAAUUGAUAAGUUACACA